rnacentral:rRNA from 1 species
GACGAACGCUGGCGGCGUGCUUAACACAUGCAAGUCGAACGGAAAGGCCUGCUUUCCCUUGUGGAUUGCGGGUACUCGAGUGGCGAACGGGUGAGUAACACGUGAGUGAUCUGCCCCCAACUUGGGUAUAAGCCUGGGAGACUGGGUCUAAUUCCCGAUAGGACUGCAGGGUGGUGCCUGUGGUGGAAAACGAUUUUCUAGUGGUUGGGGAUGAGCUCGCGGCCUAUCAGCUUGUUGGUGGGGUAAUGGCCUACCAAGGCGGCGACGGGUAGCCGGCCUGAGAGGGUGGACGGCCACAUUGGGACUGAGAUACGGCCCAGACUCCUACGGGAGGCAGCAGUGGGGAAUAUUGCACAAUGGGCGGAAGCCUGAUGCAGCGACGCCGCGUGGGGGAUGACGGCCUUCGGGUUGUAAACUCCUUUCGACCGCGAGGAAGCCACCUGGUUGGAAGGGUGGUGACGGUAGUGGUAGAAGAAGCACCGGCUAACUACGUG